UUAUCCCAGAUUCUGCACUUCUACAGGAACUAUCCUGCGCCUCUACAAAAUUACAUGAAGAAUUCUCAGGUAACUCUGAAAAUCAUACUGUUCAACUUCCAUACACUGAAGACAGACUUAGGAGGCAUCAACCCAGAACAAAAGACACAGCAUAAUGAAAGCUGUAGCAGAUAAUAUACUGAGACAUGUGAGCAGAUUUCUGACAAGCUGUACCUGCAGCUACAAAAAUAACUGCAAUUCCAGUUCCCUUUGUCCGUCACCGAUGAGCUUCAUGCCAUCCAGACCACACGUGAAGGGACGAUGCUAAAUUGAAGCUGUACUGUCACUGAAAAUGAACUGCACAUUCCUCAGCACCCACCCCCCAACAAAAAAAAAAAAAAAGGGAGAGGAGAAUAGAGAAUACAGAAACCUUUCAAUGCCAAAGCAUUUACGCCUUGGAAGAACUACACCUGAAAGGACUCAUUAAGCACAUCACCAGGUAUGGCCUAAAAGCACUCGGUUCUGGCUCAUAUGU